CGCUUGGGAGAGUAACUGCUCUCAAGGUGACGGUACCUGAGAAGAAAGCCCCGGCUAACUACGUGCCAGCAGCCGCGGUAAUACGUAGGGGGCAAGCGUUGUCCGGAAUUAUUGGGCGUAAAGCGCGCGCAGGCGGUCAUUUAAGUCUGGUGUUUAAUCCCGGGGCUCAACCCCGGAUCGCACUGGAAACUGGGUGACUUGAGUGCAGAAGAGGAGAGUGGAAUUCCACGUGUAGCGGUGAAAUGCGUAGAUAUGUGG
rnacentral:rRNA from 1 species